GCGAGGCGGGGUCCUCGUCUCCCAGCUCCAGAGGGCUGCUGGCGCCCCUCGGCCGGCCCUCAUCCAGGAUGGCCUCGUCUGGAGACCCUUCCCUUUGUGACACCUGCCAAGGCCAGGCGGUAGGCGACAGACACACCAGCAAAGAGUCCGGAAGUCCACCAAGUCCCUCAGCAAGUUUAUUCACGUACGGUAAACGGCGCAUGUAAAAGCGUACAGUUGGAUGAGCUGAGAUGCGUAGACACCCAGGGAACCUUUGCCACAUUCAGGACAGUGAACGUCUCCAUCAACCAAAGUCUCUGCAUUUUAUUUUUAUGGUAACGAUGUGGCCAGGACCAAGCAGGGGCCUCCUUCCCACUGCGUAACUGCUGCCUCGUUGCUGGGUUGGGCCUGCCUGUCCGUCGGUCCGUCUCAGGCCCUUACGAAACUCCUGCUAAAAAUGCCUGUGUGGGACUUCCCUGGUGGCGCAGUGGUUACG